rnacentral:rRNA from 1 species
GACGAACGCUGGCGGCGUGCCUAAUACAUGCAAGUUGAGCGAUGAAGAUUGGUGCUUGCACCAAUUUGAAGAGCAGCGAACGGGUGAGUAACGCGUGGGGAAUCUGCCUUUGAGCGGGGGACAACAUUUGGAAACGAAUGCUAAUACCGCAUAAUAACUUUAAACAUAAGUUUUAAGUUUGAAAGAUGCAAUUGCAUCACUCAAAGAUGAUCCCGCGUUGUAUUAGCUAGUUGGUGAGGUAAAGGCUCACCAAGGCGAUGAUACAUAGCCGACCUGAGAGGGUGAUCGGCCACAUUGGGACUGAGACACGGCCCAAACUCCUACGGGAGGCAGCAGUAGGGAAUCUUCGGCAAUGGACGAAAGUCUGACCGAGCAACGCCGCGUGAGUGAAGAAGGUUUUCGGAUCGUAAAACUCUGUUGGUAGAGAAGAACGUUGGUGAGAGUGGAAAGCUCAUCAAGUGACGGUAACUACCCAGAAAGGGACGGCUAACUACGUGCCAGCAGCCGCGGUAAUACGUAGGUCCCGAGCGUUGUCCGGAUUUAUUGGGCGUAAAGCGAGCGCAGGUGGUUUAUUAAGUCUGGUGUAAAAGGCAGUGGCUCAACCAUUGUAUGCAUUGGAAACUGGUAGACUUGAGUGCAGGAGAGGAGAGUGGAAUUCCAUGUGUAGCGGUGAAAUGCGUAGAUAUAUGGAGGAACACCGGUGGCGAAAGCGGCUCUCUGGCCUGUAACUGACACUGAGGCUCGAAAGCGUGGGGAGCAAACAGG